AGGAAAAGAAAUCAACCGAGAUUCCCAAAGUAGUGGCGAGCGAAAUGGGAUGAGCCUGUACGUGAUAGUCGAUUGGAUAGUGGAAGCUUCUGGAAAUAAGCGCCAUAGCGGGUGAUAGCCCCGUACACGAAAAACUGCAUGAGAUGAAAUCGAGUAAGGCGAGGCACGUGAAACCUUGUCUGAAUAUGGGGGGACCAUCCUCCAAGGCUAAAUACUCCUAACUGACCGAUAGUGAACCAGUACCGUGAGGGAAAGGUGAAAAGAACGCCGAGAAGGCGAGUGAAAUAGUACCUGAAACCGUGUGCUUACAAGCGGUCGGAGCAGCAUUUAUGUUGUGACGGCGUGCCUUUUGUAUAAUGAGCCUACGAGUUGCUCCUGUUGUGCGAGGUUAAGCCCCUUAGGGGUGGAGCCGUAGCGAAAGCGAGUCUGAAUAGGGCGUGCAGUACAGCGGGGCAGACGCGAAACCAAGUGAUCUAUCCAUGGUCAGGGUGAAGCGGUGGUAAGACACCGUGGAGGCCCGAACCGGUUGACGUUGAAAAGUCUUCGGAUGAGCUGUGGGUAGGGGUGAAAGGCUAAUCAAACUGGGAAAUAGCUCGUUCUCCCCGAAAUGCAUUUAGGUGCAGCCUUGGAGUUGAGUUUACUAGAGGUAGAGCGACUGGUUGGAUGCGGGGGCUUCAUCGCCUACCAAAUCCUGUCAAACUCCGAAUGCUAGUAAAUAUAUCCAGGAGUGAGGGCAUGGGUGCUAAGGUCCAUGUCCGAGAGGGAAAGAACCCAGACCAUCUGCUAAGGUCCCCAAAUGUAUGCUAAGUUGAUCAAACGUGGUCUGAUUGCUUUGACAGCUAGGAUGUUGGCUUGGAAGCAGCCAUUCAUUUAAAGAGUGCGUAACAGCUCACUAGUCGAGCGAUCGGGCGUGGAUAAUAAUCGGGCAUUAAGCAUACUACCGAAGCAAUGGCAUCGAAAGAUGGGUAGGGGAGCAUUCUAAGGGCGUAGAAGGUGUACUGUGAGGUAUGCUGGAGCGCUUAGAAAAGAAAAUGUAGGCAUAAGUAACGAUAAAGCAGGCGAGAAACCUGCUCACCGAUAGACUAAGGUUUCCUGAACAACGCUAAUCGGUUCAGGGUUAGUCGGGGCCUAAGGCGAACCCGAAUGGGGUAGUCGAUGGACAAUUGGUUAAUAUUCCAAUACUUGUAUUUAUUGCGAUGGGGUGACGGAGUAGUGAAAGUCCUGCGUACUGACGGAAUAGUACGUUGAAACUUGUAGGUAUAAGAUUUGUAGGUAAAUCCGCUUAUCUUGCCGAAAGUGAUAGUACUCUAAGUCUUCGGACGAGGAGAUAUGGACCUAAUCAGACUUCCAAGAAAAACCUCUAAGCUUCAGAUAAAUACAACCCGUACCGCAAUCCGACACAGGUAGUCAAGGAGAGAAUCCUAAGGUGCUCGAGUGAUUCAUGGCUAAGGAACUAGGCAAA
rnacentral:rRNA from 1 species